CCUGGUUUUGAUGGGGUCAUCAUACGUAAUGCCCUUAGCCAUCUCCUUCACUGACAUCAAUGCUGACCUCGGCCCUCGGCAACACUCUCCAGGAUCUUCUCUUCUUCCUUCAGCUGCUUCUCCUUGGCAGACUCUGGUGCUGGUGCUGAUCCAGGAGGCUGACGUUGGACUGAGGGCCUAGCGGGAUGUCGUCCUCACCUUGCGUCUUCGCUGCAGCAGCUUCUGGAGCUGAGGUUCCCCUCACCAGUAGCUGCCGGCGCUGCCGUAACGGCACAUAGGG
rnacentral:lncRNA from 1 species